CUAUGAUCAAUAACUUGCAUAAAAAGCGGCCAAGCAAUGUUGAUUUAAGAAAAGAAGGGAUGCUUACUGACACUACAAAAAUACUACUUCACUAACUACAAACUUUAAUUUAUGAUGCCUAUUUACAAAACCAGGACCUAAAAUUUUCCCAGAACUGAAUUUAAUGUAUAUUUACACUUGAUAAUUAUAUGCCCAUCAUGCGUUUCCAAUACUGGUUACAAAAGG
rnacentral:misc_RNA from 1 species